GAUGAACGCUGGCGGCGUGCCUAAUACAUGCAAGUCGAGCGAACAGACGAGGAGCUUGCUCCUCUGACGUUAGCGGCGGACGGGUGAGUAACACGUGGAUAACCUACCUAUAAGACUGGGAUAACUUCGGGAAACCGGAGCUAAUACCGGAUAAUAUAUUGAACGGCAUGGUUCAAUAGUGAAAGACGGUUUUGCUGUCACUUAUAGAUGGAUCCGCGCCGCAUUAGCUAGUUGGUAAGGUAACGGCUUACCAAGGCAACGAUGCGUAGCCGACCUGAGAGGGUGAUCGGCCACACUGGAACUGAGACACGGUCCAGACUCCUACGGGAGGCAGCAGUAGGGAAUCUUCCGCAAUGGGCGAAAGCCUGACGGAGCAACGCCGCGUGAGUGAUGAAGGUCUUCGGAUCGUAAAACCCUGUUAUUAGGGAAGAAAAAAUGUGUAAGUAACUAUGCACGUCUUGACGGUACCUAAUCAGAAAGCCACGGCUAACUACGUG
rnacentral:rRNA from 1 species